rnacentral:rRNA from 1 species
AGGGCACCACCAGGAGUGGAGCCUGCGGCUUAAUUUGACUCAACACGGGGAAACUUACCCGGCCCGGACACUGGAAGGAUUGACAGAUUGAGAGCUCUUUCUUGAUUCAGUGGGUGGUGGUGCAUGGCCGUUCUUAGUUGGUGGAGCGAUUUGUAUGGUUAAUUCCGAUAACGAACGAGACUCUAGCCUAUUAAAUAGGCUCCCGGCUUUUAAACGCCGGGAGGACUUCUUAGAGGGACAGGUGGCGGUUCAGCCGCACGAAAGAGAGCAAUAACAGGUCUGUGAUGCCCUUUGAUGUCCGGGGCCGCACGCGCGCUACACUGAAGAGAUCAGCGUGCUUUAUGUUCCUGCUCCGACCGGAGUGGGGAACCCAGUGAAACUUCUUCGUGAUUGGGAUAGAACAUUGUAAUUAUUGUUCUUGAACGAGGAAUUCCCAGUAAAUGCGAGUCAUAAGCUCGCGUUGAUUACGUCCCUGCCCUUUGUACACACCGCCCGUCGCUACUACCGAUUGAACGAUUU